UGUUCUGUUCUGGGUAGUAGUUACAGCUCUCCUUCUGUUUCUGGAUAGUAGUUACAAGCUCUCUCCUCUGUUCUGGGUAGUAGUACACGCUCUCCCUCUAAAGCUCUCUCUCUGUUCUGGUAGUAGUUACACGCUCCUCUCUGUUCUGGGUAGUAGUUAAACGCGCUCUCUCUCUCUUGUUCGGGUAGUAGUAAGCUUCCAGCUCUCUCUCUCUGUUCUGGGUAGUAGUUACAGCUCUCUCUCUCUGUUCUGGGUAGUAGUUACAGCUCUCUCUCUGUUCUGGAGAGUAUUUACAAGAGCCUCUCCUCGCUCUGUUCGGUAGUAAGUUCAAAGCUCUCUCUCUGUUCUGGGUAGUAGUUACAGCUCUCUCUCUCUGUUAUGGGUAGUAGUACGUUACGCUCUCCUCUCUGUUCUGGGUAGUAGGUACAGCUCCCUCAUCUCUCUCUCUUUGUUCUGGGUAGUAGUUACAGCUCUCUCUCUGUUCUGGGUAGUAGGUACAGCUCUCUCUCUCCUGUUCUGGGUAGUAGUUACAAGCUCUCUCUCUCUCUGUUCUGGUAGUAGUUACAGCUCUCUCUCUCUCUCGUUCUGUGUAGGAGUGACAGCCUUCUCUCUCGCUGUUCUGGGUAGUAGUUACAGCUCUCUCUCUCUGUUCUUCUGGGUAGUAGUUACAGCUCUCCUCUCUCUCUGCUCCUCUGUUCUGGGUAGUAGUUACAGCUCUCUCUCUGUUCUGGGGUAGUAGGUACAGCCUCUCUCUCUGUUUCUGGGUAGUAGUUACAGCUGCCCUUUCCGUAC
rnacentral:lncRNA from 1 species